CUUUCGAAAGAAAGAUUAAUACCGGAUGGUAUAGUUUUCCCGCAUGGGAUGAUUAUUAAAGAAUUUCGGUUGUCGAUGGGGAUGCGUUCCAUUAGGCAGUUGGCGGGGUAACGGCCCACCAAACCUACGAUGGAUAGGGGUUCUGAGAGGAAGGUCCCCCACAUUGGAACUGAGACACGGUCCAAACUCCUACGGGAGGCAGCAGUGAGGAAUAUUGGUCAAUGGACGAGAGUCUGAACCAGCCAAGUAGCGUGAAGGAUGACUGCCCUAUGGGUUGUAAACUUCUUUUAUACGGGAAUAAAGUGAGCCACGUGUGGCUUUUUGUAUGUACCGUAUGAAUAAGGAUCGGCUAACUCCGUGCCAGCAGCCGCGGUAAUACGGAGGAUCCGAGCGUUAUCCGGAUUUAUUGGGUUUAAAGGGAGCGUAGGCGGGUUGUUAAGUCAGUUGUGAAAGUUUGCGGCUCAACCGUAAAAUUGCAGUUGAUACUGGCGAC
rnacentral:rRNA from 1 species